GGCCUCAUCGUCUAACGGUUAGGACACGGCCUUCUCAAGGCUGGAAUCCGGGUUCGAUUCCCGGUGAGGUCACCA
rnacentral:tRNA from 1 species